rnacentral:rRNA from 1 species
GAUGAACGCUGGCGGCGUGCCUAAUACAUGCAAGUCGAGCGAACGGACGAGAAGCUUGCUUCUCUGAUGUUAGCGGCGGACGGGUGAGUAACACGUGGAUAACCUACCUAUAAGACUGGGAUAACUUCGGGAAACCGGAGCUAAUACCGGAUAAUAUUUUGAACCGCAUGGUUCAAAAGUGAAAGACGGUCUUGCUGUCACUUAUAGAUGGAUCCGCGCUGCAUUAGCUAGUUGGUAAGGUAACGGCUUACCAAGGCAACGAUGCAUAGCCGACCUGAGAGGGUGAUCGGCCACACUGGAACUGGGCCACGGUCCAGACUCCUGCGGGAGGCAGCAGUAGGGAAUCUUCCGCAAUGGGCGAAAGCCUGGCGGAGCAACGCCGCGUGAGUGAUGAAGGUCUUCGGAUCGUAAAACUCUGUUAUUAGGGAAGAACAUAUGUGUAAGUAACUGUGCACAUCUUGACGGUACCUAAUCAGAAAGCCACGGCUAACUACGUG